AAAUUGAAGAGUUUGAUCAUGGCUCAGAUUGAACGCUGGCGGCAGGCCUAACACAUGCAAGUCGAACGGUAACAGGAAACAGCUUGCUGUUUCGCUGACGAGUGGCGGACGGGUGAGUAAUGUCUGGGAAACUGCCUGAUGGAGGGGGAUAACUACUGGAAACGGUAGCUAAUACCGCAUAACGUCGCAAGACCAAAGAGGGGGACCCUCGGGCCUCUUGCCAUCGGAUGUGCCCAGAUGGGAUUAGCUUGUUGGUGGGGUAACGGCUCACCAAGGCGACGAUCCCUAGCUGGUCUGAGAGGAUGACCAGCCACACUGGAACUGAGACACGGUCCAGACUCCUACGGGAGGCAGCAGUGGGGAAUAUUGCACAAUGGGCGCAAGCCUGAUGCAGCCAUGCCGCGUGUAUGAAGAAGGCCUUCGGGUUGUAAAGUACUUUCAGCGGGGAGGAAGGGAGUAAAGUUAAUACCUUUGCUCAUUGACGUUACCCGCAGAAGAAGCACCGGCUAACUCCGUGCCAGCAGCCGCGGUAAUACGGAGGGUGCAAGCGUUAAUCGGAAUUACUGGGCGUAAAGCGCACGCAGGCGGUUUGUUAAGUCAGAUGUGAAAUCCCCGGGCUCAACCUGGGAACUGCAUCUGAUACUGGCAAGCUUGAGUCUCGUAGAGGGGGUAGAAUUCCAGUGUAGCGGUGAAAUGCGUAGAGAUCUGGAGGAAUACCGGUGGCGAAGGCGGCCCCCUGGACGAAGACUGACGCUCAGGUGCGAAAGCGUGGGGAGCAAACAGGAUUAGAUACCCUGGUAGUCCACGCCGUAAACGAUGUCGACUUGGAGGUUGUGCCCUUGAGGCGUGGCUUCCGGAGCUAACGCGUUAAGUCGACCGCCUGGGGAGUACGGCCGCAAGGUUAAAACUCAAAUGAAUUGACGGGGGCCCGCACAAGCGGUGGAGCAUGUGGUUUAAUUCGAUGCAACGCGAAGAACCUUACCUGGUCUUGACAUCCACGGAAGUUUUCAGAGAUGAGAAUGUGCCUUCGGGAACCGUGAGACAGGUGCUGCAUGGCUGUCGUCAGCUCGUGUUGUGAAAUGUUGGGUUAAGUCCCGCAACGAGCGCAACCCUUAUCCUUUGUUGCCAGCGGUCCGGCCGGGAACUCAAAGGAGACUGCCAGUGAUAAACUGGAGGAAGGUGGGGAUGACGUCAAGUCAUCAUGGCCCUUACGACCAGGGCUACACACGUGCUACAAUGGCGCAUACAAAGAGAAGCGACCUCGCGAGAGCAAGCGGACCUCAUAAAGUGCGUCGUAGUCCGGAUUGGAGUCUGCAACUCGACUCCAUGAAGUCGGAAUCGCUAGUAAUCGUGGAUCAGAAUGCCACGGUGAAUACGUUCCCGGGCCUUGUACACACCGCCCGUCACACCAUGGGAGUGGGUUGCAAAAGAAGUAGGUAGCUUAACCUUCGGGAGGGCGCUUACCACUUUGUGAUUCAUGACUGGGGUGAAGUCGUAACAAGGUAACCGUAGGGGAACCUGCGGUUGGAUCACCUCCUUA
rnacentral:rRNA from 1 species